GAAUGUGUCCUCGGCUGAACAGUUCAUCAUCUUGGCGUUUCUUCCUCUCUGCUUUGGUAUCUUUUGAAUCUUCUUCAGUGGGCUCUGACAUUGCAGGCAGCAAUGGAUCAAGGACGUAAAAUAUCUUUAGAGCGGUAAUCAAGAAUAUCAUCUUGUCCUUCCAGCGAGUGAAUUCGAUCCAUCAAAUCGAUCUAGUUUGAUGAACUCUUUUGGAUUCUCCACAACAGACAUAAACUUCUCCAUAACAGAAUAUCUCUUGAAAAUUGUUAGAAAAUUACAGAAGACUAAAAGAGAAGUAUAGUUUUAGGCCGUGAAAGAUCACUAUCUUUCAAGAGAUAUUUCCCGUAUAUUCUUUAGGGCAUUACAAGCAAUUCUCCGUCAGGAUAUAACAAAGCCAGAGUUAC
rnacentral:lncRNA from 1 species